UGCAGCGACGCCGCGUGAGGGAUGACGGCCUUCGGGUUGUAAACCUCUUUCAGCAGGGACGAAGCGCAAGUGACGGUACCUGUAGAAGAAGCACCGGCCAACUACGUGCCAGCAGCCGCGGUAAUACGUAGGGUGCGAGCGUUGUCCGGAAUUACUGGGCGUAAAGAGCUCGUAGGUGGUUUGUCGCGUUGUUCGUGAAAACUCACAGCUCAACUGUGGGCGUGCGGGCGAUACGGGCAGACUUGAGUACUGCAGGGGAGACUGGAAUUCCUGGUGUAGCGGUGGAAUGCGCAGAUAUCAGGAGGAACACCGGUGGCGAAGGCGGGUCUCUGGGCAGUAACUGACGCUGAGGAGCGAAAGCGUGGGGAGCGAACAGGAUUAGAUACCCUGGUAGUCCACGCCGUAAACGGUGGGUACUAGGUGUGGGUUUCCUUCCUUGGGAUCCGUGCCGUAGCUAACGCAUUAAGUACCCCGCCUGGGGAGUACGGCCGCAAGGCUAAAACUCAAAGAAAUUGACGGGGGCCCGCACAAGCGGCGGAGCAUGUGGAUUAAUUCGAUGCAACGCGAAGAACCUUACCUGGGUUUGACAUGCACAGGACGCCGGCAGAGAUGUCGGUUCCCUUGUG
rnacentral:rRNA from 1 species